rnacentral:rRNA from 1 species
GUCCCGGUCUCAUCGCGAGACGGGGCGCACCCAGAGCGUACACGCUGGGACCCGAAAGAUGGUGAACUAUGCCUGGUCAGGACGAAGUCAGGGGAAACCCUGAUGGAGGUCCGUAGCGAUUCUGACGUGCAAAUCGAUCGUCGGAACUGGGUAUAGCGGCGAAAGACUAAUCGAACCAUCUAGUAGCUGGUUCCCUCCGAAGUUUCCCUCAGGAUAGCUGGCGCUCGUCUUUGAACGAGUUUCAUCCGGUAAAGCGAAUGAUUAGAGGCAUUGGGGUCGAAACGGCCUCAACCUAUUCUCAAACUUUAAAUGGGUGAGAUCUCCGGCCUGCUCGAACGGUGAGGCCGCGAGAUUUCGAAUC